GACGAACGCUGGCGGCGUGCCUAAUACAUGCAAGUCGAACGCUUCUUUUCCCACCGGAGCUUGCUCCACCGGGAAAAGAGGAGUGGCGAACGGGUGAGUAACACGUGGGUAACCUGCCCAUCAGAAGGGGAUAACACUUGGAAACAGGUGCUAAUACCGUAUAACAAUCGAAACCGCAUGGUUUCGUUUUGAAAGGCGCUUUACGGUGCCGCUGAUGGAUGGACCCGCGGUGCAUUAGCUAGUUGGUGAGGUAACGGCUCACCAAGGCCACGAUGCAUAGCCGACCUGAGAGGGUGAUCGGCCACAUUGGGACUGAGACACGGCCCAAACUCCUACGGGAGGCAGCAGUAGGGAAUCUUCGGCAAUGGACGAAAGUCUGACCGAGCAACGCCGCGUGAGUGAAGAAGGUUUUCGGAUCGUAAAACUCUGUUGUUAGAGAAGAACAAGGGUGAGAGUAACUGUUCACCCCUUGACGGUAUCUAACCAGAAAGCCACGGCUAACUACGUGCCAGCAGCCGCGGUAAUACGUAGGUGGCAAGCGUUGUCCGGAUUUAUUGGGCGUAAAGCGAGCGCAGGCGGUUUCUUAAGUCUGAUGUGAAAGCCCCCGGCUCAACCGGGGAGGGUCAUUGGAAACUGGGAGACUUGAGUGCAGAAGAGGAGAGUGGAAUUCCAUGUGUAGCGGUGAAAUGCGUAGAUAUAUGGAGGAACACCAGUGGCGAAGGCGGCUCUCUGGUCUGUAACUGACGCUGAGGCUCGAAAGCGUGGGGAGCAAACAGGAUUAGAUACCCUGG
rnacentral:rRNA from 1 species